CUUGGUCAUUUAGAGGAAGUAAAAGUCGUAACAAGGUUUCCGUAGGUGAACCUGCGGAAGGAUCAUUACCGAGUUAGGGUCCGAAUGGGCCUGACCUCCCAACCCUGUGUUUACUUGACCCUACGUUGCUUCGGCGGGCCCGCCUUUACCGGCCGCCGGGGGUGACUGAACCCCCCUGGCGUGCGCCCGUCGAUGGCCCUCACCUUUUAAAACUCUGUAUAAGUCAUGUUGUCUGUCUGAGGACCAGCCUUUUUGAAACAAAAGCAAAAAACUUUCAACAACGGAUCUCUUGGUUCUGGCAUCGAUGAAGAACGCAGCGAAAUGCGAUAAGUAAUGCGAAUUGCAGAAUUCCAGUGAGUCAUCGAAUCUCUGAACGCACAUUGCGCCCUUUGGCAUUCCGAAGGGCAUGCCUGUCCGAGCGUCAUUAUCACCCCUCAAGCCCCCCGGCUUGGUGUUGGAGCCUCCGUUUCGGUACGGAUCUCUCAAAGACAAUGACGGCGGCCUCGUGGUUUCCCGGUACACUGAGCUUCCUAAUCGAGCACGUACUGAUGGAUCUCUGGGGCAGACGGUCUCCCUCCGCGAGGAGAAAAUUCUUCAAGGUUGACCUCGGAUCAGGUAGGAAUACCCGCUGAACUUAAGCAUAUCAAUAAGCGGAGGA
rnacentral:rRNA from 1 species